AGAGAGAGACAUGCGCGCAUAUCAAUAAGCGGAGGAAAAGAAACUAACAAGGAUUCCCUUAGUAACGGCGAGUGAAGCGGGAAGAGCUCAAAUUUGAAAUCUUCAAGGUUUUACCUUGACGAAUUGUAGUUUAAAGAAGUGUUUUCUGCUGAAGUUUUGGUAAAAGUUCUUUGGAAUAGGACAUCAUAGAGGGUGAGAAUCCCGUAUUUGACCAUUAUUUUCAGCUUUGUGAUACACUUUCAAAGAGUUGGAUUGUUUGGGAAUGCAGUCCAAAAUGGGUGGUAAAUUUCAUCUAAAGCUAAAUAUUGGCGAGAGACCGAUAGCGGACAAGUACCGUGAGGGAAAGAUGAAAAGAACUUUGAAAAGAGAGUUAAACAGUACGUGAAUUUGUCAAAAGGGAAGCGUUUGACACCAGUGUUGUUUUCUCGAAAAUCAAUUAAAAAUGGCUCGAUUUUGUAUUGCUUGAGACCUUAAAAGCUCACUGUACAUUUUUCGUGUCUUUUUUAAUGCACUUUUCGUUUAACAAGUCAACAUCAGUUUCUUUUGUUGUAAAAGGGUCAUUGGAAGGUGGCUUUCUUUUCGGAGAAAGUGUUUAUAGCCUUUGGCCUCUGCAAUCGAAGAGACUGAGGUCUGCAGCGUAGACUCUUCGGGGUUAGAUACAUUUGUGCUAAGUUAUAGCUUUUUAUAGACAACUUGUUGACUAUAAUUAGUCUUGUAGCUUACUCGCUUAUGCUAUUUUACCUACGCUUAGGAUGUUGAGUCGUAGAGCACGCAG
rnacentral:rRNA from 1 species